UUUGUUGAAUGGAUGAAUGGUGGAUGAC
rnacentral:piRNA from 1 species